UCUCGCCCCACAAGCUAGCCCACUUUCAAAAUACAACAGCCCCCAUUAAUACCCACAAAUAAACUAAUUAAAUCAUAAACAAACCAUUUUUCCCCCUCAGUAUGGGAGACAGAAAAGGAAACACGGCGCAAUAGAGACAGUACCGCAAGGGAAAGCUGAAAGAGAAAUGAAAAAGCUCAUACAAGGUAAAAAAAGCAAAGAUUAACACUUGUACCUUUUGCAUCAUGACCUAGCAAGCCCCUUCAAGCAAGAAGCCUCAUAGUUUGAAACCCCGAAACUAAGCGAGCUACUUCAAGCCAGUCUAUUAAAGGACAAAUCCGUCUCUGUGGCAAAAGAGUGGAAAGAGCUUCAAGUAGAGGUGACAGACCUACCGAGCCUAGUUAUAGCUGGUUGCCUGAGAAAUAAAUAGAAGUUUAGCCCUUUGGUUUCUUUUGCCCAGCACUGAUUAAAUCCCUACCUGGUGAAAAGAACAACAAAAGAGUUAGUCAAGAGAGGUACAGCUCUCUUGAACAAAGACACAACUUUUCCAGAAGGUUAAGGAUCACACGUCCAUAAAGCAAAGUACCCAAGUGGGCCUAAAAGCAGCCACCCCCUCAGAAAGCGUUAAAGCUCAAGUACUAAGCACCAAAAAUACCGACAAACCCUCCAAGACCCCUCCCCAUAUCAGGCCCUUCCAUGCACCCAUGGAAAAGACCCUGCUAGCAUGAGUAAUAAGAGAGCCCGCCUCUCUCCUAUGCACCUGUGUACAUCAGAACGAACCCCCACUGAAAAUUACUCGCCCCCAACUAACAGAGGGCAAUGAAAUAAAAAUAUGAAACCUAGAAAAACCUUCAACUAUGCAGCGUUACCCCCACACAGGAGUGCUUAAGGAAAGACUAAAAGAAAAGAAGGAACUCGGCAAACACUGGCCUCGCCUGUUUACCAAAAACAUCGCCUCUUGCCCAAAAUAAGUAUAAGAGGUCCCGCCUGCCCUGUGACUAAAAGUUUAACGGCCGCGGUAUUUUGACCGUGCGAAGGUAGCGUAAUCACUUGUCUUUUAAAUAAAGACCUGUAUGAAUGGCAUAACGAGGGCUAAGCUGUCUCCUUUUUCCAGUCAAUGAAAUUGAUCUGCUCGUGCAGAAGCGAGCAUAAAGACAUAAGACGAGAAGACCCUAUGGAGCUUUCAGACACAAGAACAGCCCACAUCAAAACACCUAGAUGAUUAGGAAAAAAUCAAAUGGCCCCUGUUCCCAUGUCUUUGGUUGGGGCGACCGCGGGGAAACAAACAACCCCCACGUGGAAAAGGACAAAAUCCUUAAACAUCAGACCCACAAGUCUAAAAACCAGAAAUUCUGACCAAAAAGAUCCGGCAAAGCCGAUUAACGGACCCAGUUACCCUAGGGAUAACAGCGCAAUCCCCUUUUAGAGCCCAUAUCGACAAGGGGGUUUACGACCUCGAUGUUGGAUCAGGACUUCCUAAUGGUGCAGCCGCUAUUAAGGGUUC
rnacentral:rRNA from 1 species